AACGAACGCUGGCGGCAUGCCUAACACAUGCAAGUCGAACGAGACCUUCGGGUCUAGUGGCGCACGGGGGCGUAACGCGUGGGAACCUGCCCGUAGGUUCGGAAUAACUCCCCGAAAGGGGUGCUAAUACCGGAUAAUGUCUUCGGACCAAAGAUCUAUCGCCUUUGGAUGGGCCCGCGUUGGAUUAGCUAGUUGGUAGGGUAAAAGCCUACCAAGGCGACGAUCCAUAGCUGGUCUGAGAGGAGGAUCAGCCACACUGGGACUGAGACCCGGCCCAGACUCCUACGGGAGGCAGCAGUGGGUAAUAUUGGAGAAUGGGCGAGAGCCUGAACCAGCAAUGCCGCGUGAGUGAUGAAGGCCUUAGGGUUGUAAUGCUCUUUUACCCGAGAUGAUAAUGACAGUACCGGGUGAAUAAGCUCCGGCUAACUCCGUG
rnacentral:rRNA from 1 species